AAUCCAAGAUGAGGACACAUUCUCAACAGAUCCUUAAAUCUCUCUCAUGUAUAAUGAAAACAUCUCAAGAUCAAAUUAAGAAAAAGAAGAGAUGUCAUUCCUCAACUU
rfam:Gossypium arboreum cultivar AKA8401 contig_582_9, whole genome shotgun sequence.